rnacentral:rRNA from 1 species
CCUACGGGCGGCAGCAGUGGGGAAUAUUGCACAAUGGGGGAAACCCUGAUGCAGCGACGCCGCGUGAGGGAAGAAGUAUUUCGGUAUGUAAAGCUCUAUCAGCAGGGAAGAAAAUGACGGUACCUGAUUAAGAAGCCCCGGCUAACUACGUGCCAGCAGCCGCGGUAAGACGUAGGGGGCAAGCGUUAUCCGGAUUUCCUGGGUGUAAAGGGAGCGUAGACGGCAGAACAAGUCUGGAGUGAAAUGCUGGGGCUUAACCCCGGAACUGCUUUGGAAACUGUGCAGCUAGAGUGCAGGAGAGGUAAGUGGAAUUCCUAGUGUAGCGGUGAAAUGCGUAGAUAUUAGGAGGAACACCAGUGGCGAAGGCGGCUUACUGGACUGUAACUGACGUUGAGGCUCGAAAGCGUGGGGAGCAAACAGGAUUAGAUACCCCUGUAGUC